GGGGUUGUAGCUCAGUGGUAGAGCGCUUGCCUAGCAUGUGUGAGGCUCUGAGUUCAAUCCUCAGCACCA
rnacentral:tRNA from 1 species